GCGGAGGAAAAGAAACCAACAGGGAUUGCCUCAGUAACGGCGAGUGAAGCGGCAACAGCUCAAAUUUGAAAUCUGGCCUUACGGUCCGAGUUGUAAUUUGUAGAGGAUGUUUCGGGUACCGCUGUGGUCUAAAUUUCUUGGAACAGGAUGUCAGAGAGGGUGAGAAUCCCGUCUGCGACCGCGGUAGGGCCUAUGUGAAACUCCUUCGACGAGUCGAGUUGUUUGGGAAUGCAGCUCAAAAUGGGUGGUAAAUUUCAUCUAAAGCUAAAUAUUGGCCAGAGACCGAUAGCGCACAAGUAGAGUGAUCGAAAGAUGAAAAGCACUUUGAAAAGAGAGUUAAACAGUAUGUGAAAUUGUUGAAAGGGAAGCGCUGGCAACCAGACUCGAGUGCAGGGGUUCCCCUGGGCUUCUGCCCAGGUUACUCCCCUGUAACCGGGCCAUCAUCAGUUUUGGGGGUGGGUUAAAGGCGGUCGGAAUGUACCCUCUCCUUCGGGGGAGGACUUAUAGCCGGUCGUGUCAUGCCACCUCCCGGGACUGAGGAACGCGCUUCGGCGAGGAUGAUGGCGUAAUGGUUGUCAGCGACCCGUCUUGAAACACGGACCAAGGAGUCUAACAUCUAUGCGAGUGUUCGGGUGUCAAACCCUUGCGCGUAAUGAAAGUGAACGGAGGUAGGAAGGCUUGAGCCUGCACUAUCGACCGAUCCUGAUGUCUUCGGAUGGAUUUGAGUAAGAGCAUAGCUGUUGGGACCCGAAAGAUGGUGAACUAUGCGUGAAUAGGGUGAAGCCAGAGGAAACUCUGGUGGAGGCUCGCAGCGGUUCUGACGUGCAAAUCGAUCGUCAAAUUUGCGUAUAGGGGCGAAAGACUAAUCGAACCAUCUGGUAGCUGGUUUCCGCC
rnacentral:rRNA from 1 species